rnacentral:rRNA from 1 species
UACGUAGGUGGCAAGCGUUGUCCGGAUUUACUGGGCGCAAAGAGCGCGCAGGCGGUCGUUUAAGUCGAAUGUGAAAGCCCCCGGCUCAACUGGGGAGGGUCAUUCGAUACUGAUCGACUUGAAGGCAGGAGAGGGAAGUGGAAUUCCGGGUGUAGUGGUGAAAUGCGUAGAUAUCCGGAGGAACACCAGUGGCGAAGGCGACUUCCUGGCCUGUUCUUGACGCUGAGGCGCGAAAGCUGGGGGAGCAAACGGG